GGGUUGCGCGCCGAACCUGCUGUCAUGCGGGGGGAACGCAGCAAAGACGCAGGAGGCACAAAGGAACAUUCACUUUGAUGGACAUCUCUUCCCACCGCCUGCAGAAGGGAGAAAAUUCCAAACUCUUCUCCUUUCUCUCCCAACCCUUGUACCAGUUUCGGUUGUAGCGCCUGCUGGUACAGAGGAUGGAAGGGAGAGUGGUUCAGAGGUUAUAGACCAGAAUUUCUCUAUUUUCCAGCUUGGCUGAUCUCUCUAAACUAGAGAAAAAGACUAUCGGCAGCGCUCCCUUCCCCUUUAUCCAGUGCUGAAAGCAGAUAAAACAUGAAAUAAAUCUUCCUCUACCAUCCUGGAAAAAAAACAUCUGCUUCUACUGCUAGCUGCUUUUGGCUUUCAACUGUUUGGCAAAAUCUCUCUCGUUGCUUUCAUAUAGCCCCUUAUUUGAGAUUCUAUCAAGCUAGCAAAAUAAAUGUUUCUCUGUCUGAAGCAA